rnacentral:rRNA from 1 species
GACGAACGCUGGCGGCGUGCUUAACACAUGCAAGUCGAACGGAAAGGCCCUGCUUUUGUGGGGUGCUCGAGUGGCGAACGGGUGAGUAACACGUGAGUAACCUGCCCUUGACUUUGGGAUAACUUCAGGAAACUGGGGCUAAUACCGGAUAGGAGCUCCUGCUGCAUGGUGGGGGUUGGAAAGUUUCGGCGGUUGGGGAUGGACUCGCGGCUUAUCAGCUUGUUGGUGGGGUAGUGGCUUACCAAGGCUUUGACGGGUAGCCGGCCUGGGAGGGGGACCGGCCACAUUGGGACUGAGAUACGGCCCAGACUGCUACGGGAGGCAGCAGUGGGGAGUAUUGCAAAAUGGGCGGAAGCCUGAUGCAGCAACGCCGCGUGCGGGAUGACGGGCUUCGGGUUGUAAACCGCUUUCGCCUGUGACGAAGCGUGAGUGACGGUAAUGGGUAAAGAAGCACCGGCUAACUACGUG